rnacentral:rRNA from 1 species
GACGAACGCUGGCGGCGUGCUUAACACAUGCAAGUCGAACGGAAAGGCCCUGCUUUUGUGGGGUGCUCGAGUGGCGAACGGGUGAGUAACACGUGAGUAACCUGCCCUUGACUUUGGGAUAACUUCAGGAAACGGGGUCAAAUACCGAAUGGGGCCUCCUGCGCCAUGUGGGGGGUGGGAAGUUUUCGCCGGUGGGGGAGGGACUGGCGGCUUAUCAGCUUGUUGGUGGGGUAGUGGCUUACCAGGCCUUUGACGGGUAGCCGGCCUGAGAGGGUGACCGGCCACAUUGGGACUGAGAUACGGCCCAGACUCCUACGGGAGGCAGCAGUGGGGAAUAUUGCACAAUGGGCGGAAGCCUGAUGCAGCAACGCCGCGUGCGGGAUGACGGCCUUCGGGUUGUAAACCGCUUUCGCCUGUGACGAAGCGUGAGUGACGGUAAUGGGUAAAGAAGCACCGGCUAACUACGUG